UACGGAGGGGGCUAGCGUUGUUCGGAAUUACUGGGCGUAAAGCGCACGUAGGCGGCUUUGUAAGUUAGAGGUGAAAGCCCAGGGCUUAAUCCUGGAAUUGCCUUUAAGACUGCAUCGCUAGAAUCGUGGAGAGGUGAGUGGAAUUCCGAGUGUAGAGGUGAAAUUCGUAGAUAUUCGGAAGAACACCAGUGGCGAAGGCGACUCACUGGACACGUAUUGACGCUGAGGUGCGAAAGCGUGGGGAGCAAACAGG
rnacentral:rRNA from 1 species